rnacentral:rRNA from 1 species
AACGAACGCUGGCGGCAUGCCUAACACAUGCAAGUCGAACGAGACCUUCGGGUCUAGUGGCGCACGGGUGCGUAACGCGUGGGAACCUGCCCUUAGGUUCGGAAUAACUCCCCGAAAGGGGUGCUAAUACCGGAUAAUGUCUUCGGACCAAAGAUUUAUCGCCUUUGGAUGGGCCCGCGUUGGAUUAGCUAGUUGGUAGGGUAAAAGCCUACCAAGGCGACGAUCCAUAGCUGGUCAGAGAGGAUGAUCAGCCACACUGGGACUGAGACACGGCCCAGACUCCUACGGGAGGCAGCAGUGGGGAAUAUUGGACAAUGGGCGAAAGCCUGAUCCAGCAAUGACGCGUGAGUGAUGAAGGCCUUAGGGUUGUAAAGCUCUUUUACCCGGGAUGAUAAUGACAGUACCGGGAGAAUAAGCUCCGGCUAACUCCGUG